rnacentral:rRNA from 1 species
AUUGAACGCUGGCGGCAUGCCUUACACAUGCAAGUCGAACGGUAACAGCACUUCGGUGGCUGACGAGUGGCGAACGGGUGAGUAAUACAUCGGAACGUGCCCGAGAGUGGGGGAUAACGCAGCGAAAGCUGUGCUAAUACCGCAUACGAUCUACGGAUGAAAGCAGGGGACCGCAAGGCCUUGCGCUCAUGGAGCGGCCGAUGGCAGAUUAGGUAGUUGGUGGGAUAAAAGCUUACCAAGCCGACGAUCUGUAGCUGGUCUGAGAGGACGACCAGCCACACUGGGACUGAGACACGGCCCAGACUCCUACGGGAGGCAGCAGUGGGGAAUUUUGGACAAUGGGCGAAAGCCUGAUCCAGCCAUGCCGCGUGCAGGAUGAAGGCCUUCGGUUGUAAACUGCUUUGUACGGAACGAAAGGUACGUUUCUAAUUAAAGAAGGACUCAUGACGGUACCGUAAGGAAUAAGCACCGGCUAACUAACGUGCCAGC